GUGUCACACGAAAGGAGGAAAAAUCAGUAUUCCCUUGGUAAGGAUGGAAGAGGUCCUCAGGUCCACAGGGCACACGUAUGGUUAAGGCAUUGCCACCAUAAAACCAUGAUGUUUC
ensembl:snRNA